rnacentral:rRNA from 1 species
CUGGUUGAUCCUGCCAGUAGUCAUAUGCUUGUCUCAAAGAUUAAGCCAUGCAUGUCUAAGUAUAAGCGACUAUACUGUGAAACUGCGAAUGGCUCAUUAAAUCAGUUAUGGUUUAUUUGAUGGUACCUACUACUUGGAUAACCGUAGUAAUUCUAGAGCUAAUACAUGCAGGAAGACCCGACUUCGGAAGGGUUGUAUUUAUUAGAUAAGAAACCAAUCCAGCUUGCUGGUUGCGUGCCGAGUCACAAUAACUGCUCGAAUCGCAUGACUUUACGUCGGCGAUGGUUCAUUCAAAUUUCUGCCCUAUCAGCUUUCGAUGGUAGGAUCGAGGCCUACCAUGGCGUUUACGGGUAACAGAGAAUUAGGGUUCGAUUCCGGAGAGGGAGCCUGAGAAAUGGCUACCACAUCCAAGGAAGGCAGCAGGCGCGUAAAUUGCCCGAAUCCUGACACAGGGAGGUAGUGACAAGAAAUAACGAUACAGGGCUACAUCUAGUCUUGUAAUUGGAAUGAGUACAAUUUACAUCUCUUAACGAUGAUCAAUUGGAGGGCAAGUCUGG